rfam:Syntrophaceticus schinkii strain Sp3 genome assembly, contig: SSCH_Contig_6
CAAGCAGUCUGGGUGAUUGCGCGUAACAGAUGCCGAAAGGCAGUGCGUGAGGAAAGUCCGGGCUCCACAGGGCAGGGUGCUGGGUAACACCCAGUGGGGGUGACCCCAAGGAAUAGUGCCACAGAAAUGAAAACCGCCCAGCGGUGCUGGGUAAGGGUGCAACGGUACGGUAAGAGCGCACCGGCGGUCAGGUGACUGGCCGGCCAGGUAAACCCCACCUGGAGCAAGACCGAAUAGGGAGGCAUUGAAGCUGCCCGCUUCGCCUCCGGGUAGGUUGCUAGAGGCCCCGGGUAACCAGGGUCCCAGACAGAUGAUCACCACCUUCGGUAACGAAGGCACAGAACCCGGCUUAUAGGACUGCUUGCUGU